rnacentral:rRNA from 1 species
AUUGAACGCUAGCGGGAUGCUUUACACAUGCAAGUCGAACGAGUGGCGGACGGGUGAGUAAUAUAUCGGAACGUGCCCCGUAGCGGGGGAUAACUACUUGAAAGAGUGGCUAAUACCGCAUACCAUUGGAGAGGCCGAUAUCGGAUUAGUUAGUUGGAGGGGUAAAGGCUCACCAAUGCAACGAUCCGUAGCUGGUUUGAGAGGACGACGUACCGCAUUGGGACUGAGAAACAGCCCAUACACCAUCAAGAGGCAGCAGUGGGGAAUUUUGGACGAUAGGAGAAACCCUGAUUCAACGAGCCCGCGUAUAUGAGAGGGCCUUCGGGGUGUAAAGUACUUUUGGCAAAGAAGCGGUAUCUGCAGAAUUAGCACAGGCUAGCUACGUGCCAGCAGCCGCGGUAAUAC